rnacentral:rRNA from 1 species
GUCGAACGAACCUUCGGGUUAGUGGCGGACGGGUGAGUAACGCGUGGGAAUCUGCCCUCAGGAGGGGGAUAACGGUUGGAAACGACCGCUAAUACCCCAUAUGCCGAUAGGUGAAAUGAAUUUCGCCUGAGGAUGAGCCCGCGUCUGAUUAGCUAGUUGGUAAGGUAAAGGCUUACCAAGGCUUCGAUCAGUAGCUGGUCUGAGAGGAUGAUCAGCCACACUGGGACUGAGACACGGCCCAGACUCCUACGGGAGGCAGCAGUGGGGAAUUUUCCGCAAUGGGCGAAAGCCUGACGGAGCAACGCCGCGUGAGGGACGAAGGCCUCUGGGCUGUAAACCUCUUUUCUCAAGGAAGAAGAUAUGACGGUACUUGAGGAAUAAGCCACGGCUAAUUCCGUGCCAGCAGCCGCGGUAAUACGGGAGUGGCAAGCGUUAUCCGGAAUUAUUGGGCGUAAAGCGUCCGCAGGCGGCCUUUCAAGUCUGCUGUUAAAGCGUGGAGCUUAACUCCAUUAUGGCAGUGGAAACUGAUAGGCUUGAGUAUGGUAGGGGCAGAGGGAAUUCCCGGUGUAGCGGUGAAAUGC